rnacentral:rRNA from 1 species
AAUAUACCACCCUGACUGUGUCUGAUCUCAGAAGCUAAGCAGGGUCGAACCACAUUAGUACUUCAAUGGGCAAAAAUAUGUUUUUAAAAUUC